UACGAAGGGGGCUAGCGUUGCUCGGAAUCACUGGGCGUAAAGCGCACGUAGGCGGAUUGUUAAGUCGGGGGUGAAAUCCUGGAGCUCAACUCCAGAACUGCCUUCGAUACUGGCGAUCUUGAGUCCGGGAGAGGUGAGUGGAACUCCGAGUGUAGAGGUGAAAUUCGUAGAUAUUCGCAAGAACACCAGUGGCGAAGGCGGCUCACUGGCCCGGUACUGACGCUGAGGCGCGAAAGCGUGGGGAGCAAACAGG
rnacentral:rRNA from 1 species